CUGAGCGUGUGCAAUGUUGUAAUAGAGGUACAAGCAACACAGGGAUAGGGAGAAGGUGAUCCACAUUGCAGGGGCCUAAUUACAGGGGGCCCUGAAUGCCAAGCCAAGACUUGGAAAAUUAGAAGGUCUACAAGGACUCCAGAACUCUCCAGGAGUGAUGAAAGAUGGUGUCUUAGCCUGGGUUUCUGCAACAAGCAGAGCCUAGCACAACAUGGUGGUUUACUUUGAAAAGUGAUCCCAAGAAACAGGAGUGAGAGGCUCGGAAGAGUCAAACGGAAAGAGGACAAGCCAACCAAGUGAAAGUGUGGUGUUUGCUGUGAGAGGGAGCAGACGCUCACUGCCAUAGAUCUCAGAGACCACCAAGGCUGAAUAAGCUGAACAACGCAUGCGGAAAGUCCACAGGCCUGCACACCAAUGGCCACAGCCUGUUCUCUCCCUGCAGGUAGGACACUCAUGCGGUACCACCCUUCCUGAGGACACCUUCCUUCCAUUGCCUGGACAGCAGCAUCCUGCCCUGGGCCACCCUCCAUGUGGAUGCCCUUCCCACUUCCCCAGGGCACUGACUCCAAGCGCAAGAAUUUUCUAGAAGGGAGAGGAAGAAGCAUCGAGCUGGUUCUCUUGGCCUGUUCCUGGAUCCCAUCCUUCUCCUUUGUUCCCGGCUCCUCCAUUCUCUAGGAAUCUCAAUCUCUUCCGGCAUUGCUGAGUUCUCAAGCUCUCUACUUUCCACUGAGCCUGUGAGUCCAGCAGGGACUGGGGUUGGGAUGCAGUUUUCAGAGACCUGUGACUACACCUUUGUUACUGGAUAGACUCCUCAGCCCUGGAUCAGCCACAGCCCUCUCCCAGGAAGCCCCUCAACUCUCUGCUAUUACCCUUCUCCAAGGCCUGAAAACAGGACUCUCUCUUCGAGAAGAUCACAGACCCUUGAGAAGAUACAGAAAUUCUCUGCUCGGCCCAAGUCAAAAUAAAAUGACUGAAUAGGCCAGGGCAGCACAGACGAGAGAGGAGUUUUCUCUGGGGCAGUGGUUCUCCAAGUGUAGUCACUGAGCAAGCAGCAGCAGAGUCAGCUGGGAACUUGUGGGACAUACAGAUCCUGGAGCCCCACCCAGACUACUGAAGCAGAACCUCCUGGGGUGGCGCUGGCAAUCUGUGUUUUAAUAAGCCCUCCUCAUUCUGAUGUCCUCUAAAGUGUGAGAACCACAGCUCCAGAAUACUGCAGGGCAGUGACGGGUGGAGGAGAAGGAGUAGGGCUGACUUCUCAGAAGAGUCCCGAAGACCUUGUCCUUGAGUCUGCAGAGAAGUUCACCAGGCAGACAAAGAAAGAAAGAGCAAGCCCAGGCAUACCCACAAGUACCAUCUGAGCUCUGCAUACCUUCUGAUAUAUGUUUAAUAAUCUUGGAAUAACAAUUGUAUUGAUAUUAUGUUGUUUAGAGUAAGUGGCAAUGUAUUCUUUGAAGAGUUAAAACUGUUUUCUGUGUUUAGAAAAGUUCUCACUUGAACUUAAUUUUGUGUUCUAAAUUUAACUAAGGAUUAUUUUUAUACAAACUUUUGAAAGCUUACUAAAUUUAUCUGAUUAACUUGUUAACAGUAGGUAGUUAGGCAGACAUAAGCAGGGCAGACCCCCACCCCCACCCCAGGAACGUCAGACAACCAUCAGGUGAUGGUCAGGAAGUUGUUCCACUGCUCCCUAAAAUAAUAACUGAUCGCACCCAGCACCAGGGAAAGGCAGUCUCCCAAUAGAUAGAAAACACCUGGCCGGGCACGGUGGCUCACGCCUGUAA
rnacentral:lncRNA from 10 species